rnacentral:lncRNA from 1 species
GGGGUGCCAAGGAUGGAUUUAGGGUGCCAGGGAUGGGCUCAGGGUGUCAGGGACGGGCUCAGGGUGCCAGGGAUAGGCUUGGGGUGCUGGGGAUGGACUCAGGGUGCCAGGGAUGGGUUCAGCGUUCCAGGGAUGGGUUUGGGGUGCCAGGGAUAAGCUUGGGGUGCUGGGGAUGGACUCAGGGUGUCAGGGAUGAGUUCAGUGUUCCAGGGAUGGGCUCGGGGUGCCAGGGACCAGCUCAGCGUGCCAGGUACAGGCCCAGGGUGCCAGGAACCAGCGCAGGGACAGGCCCAGGGUGCCAGGGAUGGGCUCGGGGACCAGCUCAGGGUGCCAGGGACAGGCUCAGGGUGCUGGGGAUGGGUUUGGGGUGCCAGGGAUGGGCUCAAGGUGCCAGAGAUGGGUUCAGAGUUCCAGGGACCAGCUCAGGGUGCCAGGGACCAGCGCAGGGACGGGCUCGGGGUACCAGGGACAGGCUCGGGGUACCAGGGACGGGCUCUCCCGGUCCCCUCCAUGGGAUGCCCCAGGAGAGCCCGGCCCUACGGCACCGGGGUGUCCCUGGAAGCCGCAGGAAGCCCCGGGAAGUGGCAGCCACCCCGCCGGUUUGGGGCAGCUCUGGGAGCCCGGCUGUGCUCCCCGUCCCGCGAAGGUGACCGCAGGGACGGGGCCCUCCGCGGGGAGCCCCGCCGGGCACUGACCUUGCCCCACAGCCCGGGGGGGGCCGCGUGGGACCCCCGGGGCUGCGAUUCCUCUCUGCUGCUCCCAGGGAGCUCGGGCUGGCAGCUACAUCCCGCGGGAAGGCAGGGGAAGGAUCCCCAGGAUCGCCGUGCUCGCCGCCGUCCCGCCGGGCCCUGUCCUUGGGGGCCUUCUAAAAUUAUCCCGUCCCAUCCCCACCUCCCGGGCUGCUGGGGAUGCCAAGCGUAGCGAGGCCUCCCCGCCUGCUCCCAGAGCUAUUCUGGGAGCAGAUCCCCUUUCCUGGGGGUUGCUAUUUCCGGGCAAUGACACAAAAACUUCCAACACCCAAAAAAAAAAAUCCAAAACCGGUGCAGAGGAGAGGAGCAGGGGAGGGGAGGAUGAUGGUGAGGGUGAGGAAGGCAGCGUGGGUGGGCACUGGGACCCCCGUGGCCACCCCGUGGCCUUACUGCUGGUCCCAUAUGAUGAGGUGGAAGAGGUAUUUGUAGACGUGGGCCUUCCUGGUGAGCAGGGGGCUGCACAGCUCCUUCCCGCCGUGGCUGAGGGAGCACGAGAGGUAGAAAUCUUCAUAACUGUGGGAAAAACACCCAGUGAGCCGGCCGGGGCCACCUGAGCCCCCAAAUCCUGUCAUGAGCGUAGGAAAAGUGGGGAUGGGGCUUUACCAGGGUCACCAGAGCCCCAUAAUCCUUCCCCAGGAUGGGAAAGGGGUGGGGGGCUUUACCUGGGCCACCAGAACCCCUAAAUCCUGCCCUGAGGAUGGAAAAGAGAGGGGGGAGUUUACCCAGGCCACCAGAGCUCCUAAAUCCUACCCCAAAUAUGGGAAAACCUGGACCUCCAGAACCCCGAAAUCCUUCCCCAAGGAUGGGAAAAUCUGGAUCCCCAAAAUCCCUAAAACUUUCUCCAAGAAUGGGGAAACCUGGAUCACCAGAACCCCUAAAUCCUUCCCUGAGAUGGGAAAACCUGGAUCACCAAAGCCCCUAAAUCUUUCCCCAAGGAUGGGAAAGGGGUGGGGGGCUUUAUCCAGAUCACCAGAACCCCUGAAUCUUUCCCCAAUGAUGGGAAAACCUGGAUCCCCAGCACCCCUAAAUCCUUCCCUGAGGAUGGGAAAACCUGGAUCCCCAGCACCCCUAAAUCCUUCCUGGAGGAUGGGAAAGUCUGGAUCACCAAAACCCCUAAAUCUUUCCCCAAUGAUGGGAAAAUCUGGAUCCCCAGCACCCCUAAACCCUUCCUG